ensembl:ncRNA asRNA:CR46138 antisense RNA:CR46138
UUGGCCCGAAUCGAAGUUAUAUCUUACUAUAAAUUACACUUCAAUGGAGAUCACAUAAAUCGAGCUUUAUUCAGGUCACACUUUUUGGAGCGCCCAUCCGUAGGAAUCUUUCCCCGUGCAUUCAUCUCCACACGAGCCUGUUCCCGCAGCUCUGCCUUCCGCAUUCGACGCUCUUUGCGUGACUCCAGAGCAUUAUUAAAGUACCGAUCCCUGAAGUCCUGCGAGGGCGUUGGCACCUGUUUUAUGCUGCACAAUAAGGGUUCUGUUGGACUAUACUCGAAACACUUUUCAUAGGUGAGUAGCCGCCUAGCUGUAUUCCCAGUCAAUUGCUGCUCAGAGUUAGCUAUCAGGCUCAGAUGCUGAUGCUGUGGCAGCAUCUUCGGGUCGUAGUCCUCGCUGUGAAAGGGUAUCCAGCAGACAAGACGUCCUCCCAGUUUUAGGUGCCUCGCAGAGAACUCGAGAAGAUCCCCAUAGAGACUCUGCAAGGAAUAGUGCGACGUUGAUGGGUAAUGCACCAUGCUGUCACUUCUAGUGUUGGCCUUUACGCUAGCCUUUUUCUCCACCUUUUCCGUGGCCUCUCUUAUUCCAUAGGGAGCUUAAAUUACCAAAGAAUGAACAUUUUAAGUUUGGUAUAAAAAAGAAUAAACCUACGAUCUGUUAUUAUGCAGUCGAACGAGAUGCGGGAAUGCCACACCGGGUUGGAGAAAUCGGCCACCACCACAUCCAUGUAGCGAUCAGCGCAGCCGUACUGCUUCAAGUUGGCCCGAAUGCUCUCGUCCUUCUCCCGCACUUUUUGGGUUAUCCGGCUCGGCCGGCAGCGGGCGUGCACCAUCAUGUAGUCUAUGUCCGCUCCCAGGACAUACCCGCCCCACUUGGCGGCGCUUACCAAAAGCGAGCCCGUUCCCACAAACGGAUCAAAUACCAGAUCCCCAUUGCGUACCAUCGCUUGGUUGGCCAUUAGCAGGCUCAGCUGGGCGUCCAUGCUGGUGUUACCGAUAAACUUACGAUGCUUCAGCGAAAGCUCCUUGAUCAAAUGCCGCUGACCAUGGGCCAUCAGCCGACCAAACAGAAUGUCCUCCGGCUCAGGUGGCACAGCCGUUGGAUCCAAGCCCCAAAACUCGAUGUACCACCACUCCACCACGGGUUUCUCCAGAUUGACCGUUCCCUCUAUUGGCAGGUAAUCCAUGGACUCGAUUUUCUCAACCUUUUCCCUCUGGCUGAAGUGCUUGUUGUAGGUCUCCACAACGAUCUUAAAACUGGCAUCCACCCGAAAGUAUUCCGCAAGCGAAUGCCAGUUCGCGGUAACAUGAUUCCGUAGCCUCUGGUGAAACUCGGGUAAUUUGUUGGAGUGGGCGUAGAGCUCGAACAUGGCGCGCAACGAAACGGACCUGGAUGCAUAUAGCAACGCAGUAUCCGUGUCCCGAAAUUCGACCAACCAAAAUGGUUUCUGUAAUACCGAAAUUAAAAAAUAUAAAUAU